UGCAGUCACGUCAAAUUCGGCCCCUGUUCCUGUUGCAGCAGGAGCCGGCCCAGGUGGCUGCUAAAGCAAGCCGUGCAGCUCAUGGGCCCCGGGUCCCCCACCCUGGGCCCCGGGGAUAAGUGUGGCUGCAGACAGGG